AUUGAACGCUGGCGGCGGGCCUAACACAUGCAAGUCGAACGAGUGGCAGACGGGUGAGUAAUGUCUGGGAAACUGCCAGAAGGAGGGGGUUACCUACGGGAAACGGUAGCUAAAACCGCAAAGCAGCAAAUGUGACCUGAUGGGGUUCGCUUGUUGGUGGGGUAACGGCUGACAAAGGCAACAAUCCCUAGCUGGUCUGAGAGGAUGACCAGCCACACUGGAACUGAGACACGGUCCAGACGCCUACGGGAGGCAGCAGUGGGGAAUAUUGCACAAUGGGCGCAAGCCUGAUGCAGCCAUGCCGCGUGUGUGAAGAAGGCCUUCGGGUUGUAAAGUACUGUCAGCGGGGAGGCGUUACCCGCAGAAGAAGCACCGGCUAACUCCGUGCCAGCAGCCGCGGUAAUUC
rnacentral:rRNA from 1 species